rnacentral:rRNA from 1 species
CCUACGGGAGGCAGCAGUAAGGAAUAUUGGUCAAUGGAGGCAACUCUGAACCAGCCAUGCCGCGUGAAGGAUGAAGGCCCUAUGGGUCGUAAACUUCUUUUGUACGGGAAAAAACCCUUUUACGUGUAAGAGGUUGAUGGUACCGUAAGAAUAAGGAUCGGCUAACUCCGUGCCAGCAGCCGCGGUAAUACGGAGGAUCCAAGCGUUAUCCGGAUUCAUUGGGUUUAAAGGGUGCGUAGGCGGCUUAUUAAGUCAGCGGUGAAAGCCUGGAGCUUAACUCCAGAACUGCCAUUGAUACUGAUGAGCUUGAGUACACUUGAAGUGGGCGGAAUGUGUCGUGUAGCGGUGAAAUGCUUAGAUAUGACACAGAACACCGAUUGCGAAGGCAGCUCACUAAAUUGUAACUGACGCUGAGGCACGAAAGCGUGGGGAUCAAACAGGAUUAGAUACCCUGGUAGUCCACGCCGUAAACGUUGAUAACUCGAUGUGUGCGAUAUACUAGUACGCGUCUAAGACGAAGACGAUUAAGUUAGUACCUACCGUCGGGGUAGGUACGGAGUCGUCGAAGUUAGUUAGUAAACGUUAACUUAAAUAGUUAAGUUAGUUACGGCGUUGAGGACGUUAGCCGACGGACGACCGACCGACGGGGAGGUUAGGGAG